UGAGGAAUAUUGGACAAUGGGCGCAAGCCUGAUCCAGCCAUGCCGCGUGCAGGAUGAAGCAUCUAUGGUGUGUAAACUGCUUUUAUACAGGAAGAAACCCCUUUACGUGUAAAGGAUUGACGGUACUGUAGGAAUAAGGACCGGCUAACUCCGUGCCAGCAGCCGCGGUAAUACGGAGGGUCCAAGCGUUAUCCGGAAUCAUUGGGUUUAAAGGGUCCGUAGGCGGUUUUAUAAGUCAGUGGUGAAAUCCGGCAGCUCAACUGUCGAACUGCCAUUGAUACUGUAGAACUUGAAUUACUGUGAAGUAACUAGAAUAUGUAGUGUAGCGGUGAAAUGCUUAGAUAUUACAUGGAAUACCAAUUGCGAAGGCAGGUUACUAACAUUAUAUUGACGCUGAUGGACGAAAGCGUGGGUAGCGAACAG
rnacentral:rRNA from 1 species